rnacentral:tRNA from 1 species
ACGGGCGUAGCUCAAUUGGUAGAGCACUGGUCUCCAAAACCAGCGGCUGGGAGUUCGAGUCUCUCCGCCCGUGCAA